CACGUAGGGCGCGAGCGUUGUCCGGAAUUAUUGGGCGUAAAGAGCUCGUAGGCGGCCUGUUGCGUCCGCUGUGAAAGCCCGGGGCUUAACCCCGGGUCGGCAGUGGAUACGGGCAGACUAGAAUUCGGUAGGGGAGACUGGAAUUCCUGGUGUAGCGGUGAAAUGCGCAGAUAUCAGGAGGAACACCGGUGGCGAAGGCGGGUCUCUGGGCCGAUAUUGACGCUGAGGAGCGAAAGCGUGGGGAGCGAACAGG
rnacentral:rRNA from 1 species